rnacentral:tRNA from 2 species
AACUUAGUAGUUUAUUAGAAAAUUUAAAAUUGCAAAUUUUAAGAAAUAAUUUUUAUUUAAGUUU